GAGUUUGAUCCUGGCUCAGGAUGAACGCUGACAGAAUGCUUAACACAUGCAAGUCAACUUGAACUUCGGUUUGGGUGGCGGACGGGUGAGUAACGCGUAAAGAACUUGCCUCACAGAUAGGGACAACAUUUGGAAACGAAUGCUAAUACCUGAUAUUAUGAUUUUAGGGCAUCCUAGAAUUAUGAAAGCUAUAUGCACUGUGAGAGAGCUUUGCGUCCCAUUAGCUAGUUGGAGAGGUAACGGCUCACCAAGGCGAUGAUGGGUAGCCGGCCUGAGAGGGUGAUCGGCCACAAGGGGACUGAGACACGGCCCUUACUCCUACGGGAGGCAGCAGUGGGGAAUAUUGGACAAUGGACCAAGAGUCUGAUCCAGCAAUUCUGUGUGCACGAUGAAGUUUUUCGGAAUGUAAAGUGCUUUCAGUUGGGAAGAAAAAAAUGACGGUACCAACAGAAGAAGUGACGGCUAAAUACGUGCCAGCAGCCGCGGUAAUACGUAUGUCACAAGCGUUAUCCGGAUUUAUUGGGCGUAAAGCGCGUCUAGGUGGUUAUGUAAGUCUGAUGUGAAAAUGCAGGGCUCAACUCUGUAUUGCGUUGGAAACUGUGUAACUAGAGUACUGGAGAGGUAAGCGGAACUACAAGUGUAGAGGUGAAAUUCGUAGAUAUUUGUAGGAAUGCCGAUGGGGAAGCCAGCUUACUGGACAGAUACUGACGCUGAAGCGCGAAAGCGUGGGUAGCAAACAGGAUUAGAUACCCUGGUAGUCCACGCCGUAAACGAUGAUUACUAGGUGUUGGGGGUCGAACCUCAGCGCCCAAGCAAACGCGAUAAGUAAUCCGCCUGGGGAGUACGUACGCAAGUAUGAAACUCAAAGGAAUUGACGGGGACCCGCACAAGCGGUGGAGCAUGUGGUUUAA
rnacentral:rRNA from 1 species